UGUACAUGAGUGUGUGUAGCGUUGAAUUUGAAGAAACUUCGUCAGCAAAAAAGUACUUUUUAAUGCAACCAUGGUAUGUGUUGUGCCGUGUUCGUGCUUUUGUAACUAAAUCUCCGUUUUGACAUCACUUUUCAUCAUAAACUGAAAUAAUAAUAAAAAAACACCAUCGAAGCGAAUACAAAAUCAAAACAAAACCAACAAAACUUAAAAAAAAACAACAACAAAACUGAGAAUUAAAUCAACUUUAGCUCAAAACCAAAAACUACCAAACCGGCGUUUUUAGGAAGAGGAACUAUUGAGGAAGUGGCAACUAUAACUGCUCCAAUAUUUAAAAACAAACACUUUUUAAUUUCAAAUCUGCAUUAACAACUCCUACAAAAUUGUGAAAAUUUAAGUAAUAAAUUGUAAAAAGCUGCUGGAAACAGUUUGCAACGGUUAAAAAAAGCUUAAGCCAAGCUUAGCUUAUAAAAAAAACCAGCCCCUUUAAAACAAUUAAAAAUCUGGGAGAAAAAGAAAACAACAAAAAUAAAAACACUUAGUGAAAUUAGCAAUAAAACUUAUAAAAAAAUACUCAGAAUUUCCAAGAAAUUCAAAAUUAAAAACAAAAAACUAAAUAAAAAUUAUAAAAACACAUCUGUCCACAAAAAUACUACUGUAAGUUAGCAAACCCAAUUAAUAAGGAAGAAACAGCAAAGCUUGGCUCUUAUUAUUGUUAUAAUACCUUGCUAAACACUAAAACAAUAAGGUCGUCGUCAACACCUACCUAUCUUCAAUCAAUAAGGACAUUAUCUAUUGUUUUAAUAACGGAGGAGUAUUAACAACACUUUAGUUAACACGCAGCAAGCAAAUCAGCAGGAUUUUGUUAUCAACAGAACGAUAGUAGUGAGAUCAAUCGAGAUAGAGAAACAAAAUAUACGUUAAAGCCUUAAAUUAUUGUGUAUAUCUGAGAAAAUAAGUCAUACUUCAUCUUUUAUAAAUUUCCUGGAGCUCGAAUACAACAUAUACCUAUUAUCCCCACAUCAAUUCCUCAUUUUUUUUUCGAAAACCCCAUUUUCUCUACACAAGCUUUAAAUAUUUGUUUUAAUUUUAACGCUUAUUUUAAAAAUAUAUAUUUUUUUAAACACAACCACCACGCCCACAACAAACAUCAAACAAAAUACAACAACAACAAUAUAAAUCCUCAACAUUAUUACGGCAACAACAAAAAACUACCAACAACUGAAAAGAAAGUUUUAAAGUACAAAUAAAACGAAAAAAAAAUAUUAAAAUUAAUAAAUAAAAUUAAAAAACGCAACAUUACAAAAAAAAAAAAAAAAACAAAAAAGAACUUAAAAACACUGAAUUUAAUGAUUAAUUAAGAUUUUUAUAAUUGUACAAAGUAUUAAAAAUUAUAAUAAACUCAAAUAUAGAAACUUAAAGUAACAAGUAAGAAAAUCCAAAAAAAAGAGAAAAGAACAGAAAAUUGAAAAAUAUAAAAUACUAAAAAAACUGAAUCGGGAAAGUGAAAAGAAAAUAUAAACUUGAAACCGGGAAACUUUGUAUGCCUCAAAGGCGUGAAAGGAAUCGUAUCUACAAAAAUAAAAAUCUCUAAAAAGCAACAAAAAACAACAACUAACGGAAACAAUAAUUAAAAAUAUUUCAUUAUUAAAAAUAAAAACAACAACAAACAACAUUAAAAUAAUCAAAUUAAUUUAAUAAAUAUAAAUCUAAAAUUAAGAAAUUUUUACAUUUAAAUUCUUAAAAAUAAAUAUUAAAAAAAAAAAAAAAAAUUAUUCCAAAACAUUAACAAUUACAACAACAAUUUAACAGAAAUUAUAUUUAAACGGCUGGCGGUUUGUUUUUACACAAAAAAAAACGAAAAACAGCUUGUUUUCAACGAUCUCUCAAUAAAAAGAGAUCCCUUUUCAAAAGGGAUCUUUUUGAUUUUAUUUAUUUAUAAAAAAAAAACAAAAACAAAAUAAACUUUUAAAGACUUUCAAUUAAACAAGAGAUUUUGAAAAUAAUUCAACGUAUAUACACACACACACAUAUAAAUAAAUAUAUAUUAAAUAAAUCCUAAAAGUGAAUAAAUGCAAAUGAAAAAGUCUUAGAAAAUAAUCUUAAACAUUUCUUAAAAAAAAGCUAUUGAAAAACAAAACAUUAAAACAAAUUCAAAGAAAGAUUUAAACAUCUCUGUGAUAAUUAUUGUAAAUUUAUAAACUUAUUAAUUAAUGGAAUCUUUAGAAAUGCAAAUUUAAUACAAAAACAAAACUUCUUAUAUAUAAAAUAAAAAAUAAUAUUUAACCAUACGAAGCUAAAAAAUUAUAAUAAUAAAAACAAAACAAAAAACAA